GCCCUCUGACCUGUCCCCAGGGCCCUGUACCCUUGGCCACCUCCAAGAUGACCUGGACAUGGGCUUCAGCAAAGGUAGCAACCCCAAAACACCUCCAUUUGAUAGGGAGGAAGCUCAGGCCCACCACAGGAGACCUGGGCUGCAGGUGGUGUAGGUGCUGGCUGAACCAAAAUGCACCCAUGUUGGAGGAUGCACCCUAGGAUGGGCAGCAGCGGGAGGUCUCCCUGCCCAACAACUGGUAGUGGUACCUGAGAACAAAGGAGGAGAAGGAGGCUUUGGACACAGGUGUGGAGAAGCCCAAGGAGGAAGAAGAAGACUCAGACUAUGGGCUGCUGGAUGGCCUCAAGGAUCCCCUCCCAGAAAAGGAACUUUGAGACUUAUACCCAGG
rnacentral:lncRNA from 10 species